UCAGGUGGCCGCAGAGAAUAGGCCCAAGCGACUGUUUACCAAAAACAUAGGUUUCUGCUAAGUCGCAAGACGAUGUAUAGGAGCUGACGCCUGCCCGGUGCUGGAAGGUUAAGGGGAUCUGUUAGAGCAAUCGAAGCAGUGAACUUAAGCCCCAGUAAACGGCGGCCGUAACUAUAACGGUCCUAAGGUAGCGAAAUUCCUUGUCGGGUAAGUUCCGACCCGCACGAAAGGCGUAACGAUUUGGGCACUGUCUCAACAACAGACUCGGUGAAAUUGUAAUUCCGGUGAAGAUGCCGGAUACCUGCGACAGGACGGAAAGACCCCAUGGAGCUUUACUGUAGCUUGACAUUGGGUCUUGGUACUACAUGUACAGGAUAGGUGGGAGGCUUUGAAACCAGGACGCCAGUUUUGGCGGAGCCAUCCUUGGGAUACCACCCUUGUAGUACUGGGACUCUAACCAUAGGCCAUGAAUCUGGUCUUGGGACACUGUCAGGUGGGCAGUUUGACUGGGGCGGUCGCCUCCCAAAAGGUAACGGAGGCGCUCAAAGGUUCUCUCAGUACGGUCGGAAAUCGUACGUAGAGUGUAAAGGCAAAAGAGAGCUUGAUUGCAAGACAUACAGGUCGAGCAAGGAUGAAAAUCGGACUUAGUGAUCCGGUGGUUCUGCGUGGAAGGGCCAUCGCUCAACGGAUAAAAGCUACCCUGGGGAUAA
rnacentral:rRNA from 1 species